GUAGCAACCCGAAAAUAUUUUUUCUUCCUUUUAAAAGUUCAGCCCUUCCCUUCCAUUUCCCAUUCAUGCUUAUUGGAAACCCUAGCCAUUUACUUCUCCUCUUCUUGCUUUUGAUGGUUAAAGGUAGAUUAGUAGAAGUAGAGAGGAUGAGAAGAAAAGAUGGCAAGGUACUCAACUCUUAGGUUGUGCUUAAGACCUUGUUGUUCAGCCAGUGCUAGGAUGGAUCCACUAGGGUUGUCAUUUCUUGUAAAUCUUUAUUAACCUGUAUUUGUACUUUGGAUUCUUGUAUGCGUAAACCUGUGUUAUAUUUCUGUACCA